rnacentral:tRNA from 1 species
ACAAAAAUAGUGAAAAUCUAUUACUACGGUAUUAUAUUACGUUAAAUGCCUUGCUGUCUACAGGAAAAAACUUUUUUC